AUGAUCACCCUCUUACGUACAAACAUGUGGACAUACCACACAACCAUCAUGUUUAUCAUCAGACCCAAUCCAAAAGUUUUAAUUGAGAGACAAGCCUGCAUCAGAGACUUCCUGCUCUACUAAAGACUUCUCCAACUGGGAGAAGACCAGGGACAGAAACUCCCAGCUCUGCUGAGAUUGGGAGAAGUGAAGGCCACACUGACCAGAAGACCAGAGAGGAAAUAGAGCACAAGGAACAAAACACCCAUCCA